AUUGAACGCUGGCGGCAGGCCUAACACAUGCAAGUCGAGCGGUAGCACAGAGAGCUUGCUCUCGGGUGACGAGCGGCGGACGGGUGAGUAAUGUCUGGGAAACUGCCUGAUGGAGGGGGAUAACUACUGGAAACGGUAGCUAAUACCGCAUAACGUCGCAAGACCAAAGUGGGGGACCUUCGGGCCCCCUGCCAUCAGAUGUGCCCAGAGGGGAUUAGCUGGUAGGUGGGGUAACGGCGCACCUAGGGGACGAUCCCUAGCUGGCCUGAGAGGAUGACCAGCCACACUGGAACUGAGAGACGGUCCAGACUCCUACGGGAGGCAGCAGUGGGGAAUAUUGCACAAUGGGCGCAAGCCUGAUGCAGCCAUGCCGCGUGUGUGAAGAAGGCCUUCGGGUUGUAAAGCACUUUCAGCGGGGAGGAAGGCAUUAAGGUUAAUAACCUUAGUGAUUGACGUUACCCGCAGAAGAAGCACCGGCUAACUCUGUGCCAGCCGCCGCGGUAA
rnacentral:rRNA from 1 species